UACGUAGAAGACUAGUGUUAUUCAUCUUUAAUAGGUUUAAAGGGUACCUAGACGGUAUAAUUAGUCUUUAACAGGAAACGGUUAUACUAGAGUUAUAUAUGAGGAGGUGAGUAUUUGUGGAGUAGAGUUGAAAUUCUUUGAUACCAUGACGACUGGUAAAGGCGAAAGCAACCUUUUAUCUAAUAACUGACGUUGAGGGACGAAGGCUCGGGUCGCGAACAGG
rnacentral:rRNA from 1 species